UUUCGGGCAUAGUGGCGCACGGGUGCGUAACGCGUGGGAAUCUGCCCCUUGGUUCGGAAUAACUCAGAGAAAUUUGAGCUAAUACCGGAUGACGACGUAAGUCCAAAGAUUUAUCGCCGAGGGAUGAGCCCGCGUAGGAUUAGCUAGUUGGUGGAGUAAAGGCCUACCAAGGCGACGAUCCUUAGCUGGUCUGAGAGGAUGAUCAGCCACACUGGGACUGAGACACGGCCCAGACUCCUACGGGAGGCAGCAGUGGGGAAUAUUGGACAAUGGGCGAAAGCCUGAUCCAGCAAUGCCGCGUGAGUGAUGAAGGCCUUAGGGUUGUAAAGCUCUUUUACCCGGGAUGAUAAUGACAGUACCGGGAGAAUAAGCUCCGGCUAACUCCGUGCCAGCAGCCGCGGUAAUACGGAGGGAGCUAGCGUUGUUCGGAAUUACUGGGCGUAAAGCGCACGUAGGCGGCUUUGUAAGUUAGAGGUGAAAGCCUGGAGCUCAACUCCAGAACUGCCUUUGAUACUGCAUGGCUUGAAUCCAAGAGAGGUGAGUGGAAUUCCGAGUGUAGAGGUGAAAUUCGUAGAUAUUCGGAAGAACACCAGUGGCGAAGGCGGCUCACUGGCUUGGUAUUGACGCUGAGGUGCGAAAGCGUGAGGAGCAAACAGGAUUAGAUACCCUGGUAGUCCACGCCGUAAACGAUGAUAACUAGCUGUCGGGGCACUUGGUGUUUCGGUGGCGCAGCU
rnacentral:rRNA from 1 species